rnacentral:rRNA from 1 species
ACGGAAGGCAGCAGUGAGGAAUAUUGGUCAAUGGGCGGAAGCCUGAACCAGCCAAGUCGCGUGAAGGAUGAAGGUAUUAUGUAUUGUAAACUUCUUUAGUCGUAGAGAAAUAAGGUGCUCGUGAGCACUGAUGCUAGUAUACGAAGAAUAAGGAUCGGCUAACUCCGUGCCAGCAGCCGCGGUAAUACGGAGGAUCCGAGCGUUAUCCGGAUUUAUUGGGUUUAAAGGGUGCGCAGGCGGCUUUUUAAGUCAGUGGUCAAAUCGUGGGGCUCAACCCCAUCCCGCCAUUGAUACUGGAGAGCUUGAUUGCGGUCGAGGUUGGCGGAAUUCGUCGUGUAGCGGUGAAGUGCAUAGAUAUGACGAAGAACACCGAUUGCGUAGGCAGCUGACCAGGCCGUAAAUGACGCUCAUGCACGAAAGUGCGGGGAUCGAACAGGAUUAGAUACCCUGGUA